rnacentral:misc_RNA from 1 species
UAUCAAUAUCAGCAAUGUUACUCCUCCCAGCUUUCUCGACAAUCACAGGUAUUCUGUCCGGGUACUUUUCUUUAAUGCGAGCAGCUUCGGCCUGCCUCUUUUCUAAAGGAAUUCCGAGUUUGAACGAGCUUCUGGCCAUGGAAGAAAUUAGAAUCUCACGCUACGAUUGGUGGCCAGUCAAAGAGAAUAUCAAAAAAGGGGGUCUGGAAAUUCAGUAUUUGAGUGAUG